UGUAUCACACCUCUUGCGAGCAGUGAUUGAGGAAGAAGGAGGCAAACCAUAUAGACAACAUCAAUCCAGGUUGUUAUUUUUUCCCUUUGGCCUAUUCCUUCAGUUUUGUAGGGAAAGCAGUGGGCUAUUGGUCACAGAAGGAGGUGAGUAGCACUCAGUAGGAACACAAGUCCUUUUCAGAAUGUUUAGUGUCAGUACACUAAAGUAGGAUUGUAGUGGCAAGCCCUAUGCUUCAACUACUGGCAAAUUACUAUAUUAAAUGCAUGUGCAUUGGAUGUUGGGCUGCACAUACACACACAUGUUCACCAUAUUCAUCUUGCACAUCUGAAAAUGUAUUUCAACCUGUUUUCUCUUGGAAUAUUAUUCAUUGAGCAUUACAACAGAGAAAUAUGCACUUUUCCUUCUAUCCCUGUUUCAAUGUUUUAUACCAUAUUUUGCAUUCUCUUCCUUUAGUGUUCCAACCAUACAGAAAUUCCCCAGGAAUAAUUAUUUAUGAGUCUACUUCACAUCAGCUGGCCACCAUCCCUUUACAACAGGGUUGGGGAACCAUUUUGGGACUGAGGGCCACAUUGACUGAAAGGGGAACCAUAUGGGAGGGUGCAUUCAAGUUGUGGGCAGAGUCAGACCUUCAUCAUACAUGAUUAACACUGAGAGACAUCACAGUGAAUCACAUGCAAAACUAUUUCCCACUGAAACAGAGACACGUAUUUAAUUCUUAGUAAUUCUAAUUCCUUUUUGUCCAUAGACUUUCUUAUACUUCUUGUUAUGAAUGCCCUGUUUGCAUAGAAUGUAUCUUGUCGACAUCACAGAAAUUUGCUUAGGCUCAGGUUUGUAGGCCAGUAUGUUGCAUCUACAGCUGAGCUUUUUUUGUUUUUUAAAAGUAAAUAUGAAUUCAUGUCUUUAUCUGUUUGAACUAACAAUAUCCAAAGAUCAAACAGGUUUCAAAGCCAUACUGCUAAGUAUUGUACAAAUAUACAUGGCUAGAGGACCAUGGCUGUAUUUCAAAAGUCUUGGGCACAGCAGAUGGGUAAAUCGAAUGGCAUUUUAGCACGAAGCUGUCUUUUACAUGACUUGUAGGAAUAGUAAGAAAAUCAGUACUAACUGCUCUCUCAACACAUUGCCUUGUUUGUAACCACUGCCAUAUGUCAAUGCUUUGCAGGAAAACCACCACCCUCUGCCAGGCUAGGGCACUUAAACAGCAGAUGGAAUUUUGCAUCUAUCCGGCUUGGAUCUUACUGCUGCAACCACAUUCAUUCAGUAGUUCUUAUGACAGAGCUAAUGGUACAUUUAUAUUCAGAUGAAAGAACCUGAACUGAGAAUCGUUAUAAUUUGUUCCAGCAGCAGCAGACGCAGGGCCUCAUGCUCUGCAUUUUAAAAUAUCCCUUCCUAAUCGCUCUAUCUUACUAAAAGGUUCCAACAUACAACAUAGUUUAAAUCUGGCAAACAAUUUUUCAUUGUUCAGGAAGUGUUUGAUAGUGGUGCUCACCCCGUUAGUUGUUGAUCCUACUGUAAACUGCUAUAAACAUAUGCACACACAUGGUUUAAUCCUUUGUGCGACAAGAAAGCACAUAAUUUUCUAGGAAAUUGGGAAGAGAACAAUCAGUUUCAUCUCAAAAAUUCAACAUCCUGCUAUACCACCCAAUCACGAUUUAUCCCACCCACCCCUAAUUUACAUCCAUUAUCCUCAAAACACUUCAGAGAAUUAUCCUGCAAUAGGUGGCCACUACACGCACCAUGACUGCCUAUUCAAAUCUUCUCCUACAAUGCCCACUGAAUACCUUACAUCCAUAUUUAAAGUUAAUGGUUCUAUAAUUUAUUUUUAAAGCUUGGCUUCCAGGGUUUGCAAAGCUAUUCAUCUACCUCUUGCCUAGAAAUGUACCUUCUCCUAUUCUUUUUUCAGUUCAAUCAAAAGUGUAAGGUCUUCAUUUGUGUCCUGUCUUUUGCUCUGAAAGAACCACAAAGGCUAUUCUUGGUCCUCUCUAUUUUCUAUUUAUCUUCAGAAGCAGAAGGGGAUGGAGUUGGAGUGAGUGAGGGGUUUGGUGCUUGUAUCUCUGAGCCAAAAGAUGAGUAAUAAGGUAGCAGACCUUCAACCUUGCCCUUGCUGUGAAAGAGAAAGCAACAAUCAAAACUGACAAGUGUCAAUCUGUCUAUGGUAAGCAACUGGAAGAAAGGUUAAGCGAAAGACUUGUUGCACAGACUUCCAUUUUGUCACAGAGUAACUUAGGUUUUGGUUUUGGUUUUUUAAUCCUCCAGUAACUUUAGCGCAGUUUUAUAGUAGCCCUUUUCAUAACUUCAAUCCAACAUAGACUGAAUAACGAACAUCUCUGAUCUUCAGAGGAGGCUUUUAUUCAUAACCAUUGCCAGGGGAACUUCAAUAUGUGGCAACAAAGGAUGGAGCUUUUUCUGUAGCAGUACCCCAUCUGCAGAAUAUGGGCAUGAAUGACAGUAUCAUUACAAUCUUUUUGACACCGAAUCAAAAUACACAUAUUCUUUUCACGAAUGUAUGCAUAUUAGUUACAGUUUCCUCUCAUACGUGCAUUUUUGUACGCAUUGUUUUAGUUGGAGAGCAGCAUCACACAAAAUCCAGAGAACUGCCAAUUCUGAAGCAUAGCUCUGGCUCGGUUCGUGUAUUGGCUAGAGAUUGUGAAUUAUAGCUAGAUCUUUAUUAAAAUGAAAACAAAAUCAAAUUUCCUUCCCAUCCCUAUCACCCUGGUAUCUCUGCAGAUGAAGUGUGAUCGAUAAGGAUUUUAAAUAAAUAAGUGAAUAUACCGAGUGUUUGCUAAGUCAACCGGGUGUGGCUGGUGGAGGGGGGCCAAUACCAGCCUCCUGACAGCCACAUGCUGACUGCUUGCCAAGAUAAUGCAGGAUGGGGCGGGGUAGCAGCUAGGUCAAGGUGGGACAACCAUAUCAGUGGAGCCAAUCCAGCACUCACACUGCCCUGAUCUCCCCCAACUCCACUUGGGCAAGUGGCAGUGCUGCUGCUGUUGUGAGAUCUGCUCUGCAGCACUCCCACUGGACUGUCGCUCUUACAUUCAGCUGAAAGUAUUAAGGGGACUCCUACAUGAGCACAGCUAUAUGUAUACAGAGGCCCCUUUUAACUCAGUGGCAGAGAAUCUGCUUUGCAUGCCGAAGGUCCCAGGAUCUCUCCCUUCCAUCUCCAGAUAGGACUUGGAGUGUUGCUACUUUAAGGGUAAUUGUCCUUAGCAUGAAGAAUGCCCUCCCAGAGCUUGUGUACACAUUAUCAUUUUGCCCAUAUGAAGAAAGAUUAUCCUACUAUGGACUGAAGAAGACUAUAUUACUGGAGCAUUUUUUGAAAACAACAACUCCUAUGUCCUUGUAUAAGAAUGAGUGAUAGAAAUGGGAUUGCUGACAAAUUCUUGGCCUGUGGUGAAGAAAAUCAAAUGCUUUAACCGUAAGACUCAUGCUUCCAUUUAAGCUGUUUUUGACCUAGUUAUUUUAUUAUUUCAUUGAUACAGUUCAUUGUUCUUUUGAUGUUCCUUGUAUACCAUUAGCCACUUCAAGCAUCUCUCUUAGAAAGCCAAGCAAGACAUAUAUUUUUUUAGUAUGAAUAAAUAAAAAUAUAUACAUAAUGUUGCUGUUUUUCUGCAUCCUGCUAUGAGUCUUAACAUUUACUUAGGCAAGGGUAAGUGUUUGACUUUGCCGGGAUGACGUUUUUUAACUCUGGAAUCACUUCUAGAUAAUCAGUUUGUUCAACUUUUGUCCUGUUUUAUUAGCACAAAAUUUGUGGGGGCAUUAUGCACCGUUGCCAUCAAGUGGGACCUAUCCCACAGAUUCUAGUGGUUUCCCCCACUGCUCUCCAUACUGUAAAAGCCAGCAAGAAUGCUGUAGCACUAUUCCUGAUUAUUGCAAUGCACCUACUUUCUGGAAGGUGGCUUAUGAAGGUGCAGUUUGUUGCACAAAGGACAUAUACCAGCAUGCACUUGAACGGGUGAGAGAUUUGUGCCAUAGUGCUGACUGUCUCUCUCUCUCUGUGUGUGUGUGUGUGUGUGUGUGUGUGUGUGUGUGUUUGUGUGUACUGGAAACUUUGGUGGUUUUUAACAGAAAUGUAAAAGUCCAGAAAUAUAACCUAUCAUUCUAAAGUGCCUGCAUCAUUUUUAACAGAAAUACUAUGUUAAUACACCCAGUUUCUAAACAAUACUUUUCACUACAGGGUCCACCGUUCCAGUGUAUCAUGCCAUUGCUGGUGAUAGGAAGAAUUUGGUCCUGUUUCAUUCUAUCAAAUUAUCUUUUAGCAAGGUUGUGCUUGACAUUGAAUACCAAGGAUUUUCUUUGCCAGCGUGCAGAAAGACAAAUGGCCUUUCGCCUUUCCUCUUAUGUCAAGGAUAUUGCAAUAUAUUUUUGGCUACUUUGGGCAAUCUACUGUAAAGGUAUUUGUGUGCCUGACCAGCUUCUACAAGGCACUUUGCUAGUCACCAUGCUGCUUCUCUGUGUUCAAGCCACAUUGUAAUUAAGACGUAAAAUUCAGCAUUACCAGGUGUCAGGAGGAUAUCUGUGGAACACAGCUGCAAGAUUGACGUGUAUAGUGCACUGAUAUGUUGUGACUUGGCAAGCCUUCCUAACAGAGCAUUGUUUUGUCCAGCUUGUCCUCCUAAUUGGAACGUGAAAAUAUGGUGCAUGGAUUCUGAAUUUCCACACAGUCAGGCCCUUCUAAAUCACUCUGGCACAGAGUGCAAAGUAGACUUCGGGUAAAUAUUAAUUCCAUUUCUAUUAACCUGAACGCUUCUUUUACCUACUGAACAGGCGCAAAGAGACCUCGGUUGUACAAAUGACAAGUCACGAGAUGCACAACCGGGUUUUUCCUUGCAGAUUUGAAUUUGAGUGACCUUCAACCUAGAUUAACUUUUCCCUCACCCUGUGUUAUUGUGUGAAUAUGAACAAGUUAUGUGGCUGCAUCAGAGACAUGUUGAGGAGUAAUGCAUUUAAUCAUACAUCUGCUACCAUUUAAACUUUAAUGGGAUGUGUCCAGAUAUAUCCUUCUGGGAAAGGAAGGGCUUAUAUGUCAACAGAUGGGACUCCCAAUUUUGAGGAAGCUCCCACUGUGCUAACUCUGUGGGUUUUUUAAAUAACAAUUUAUUAAAUUUUCAAAUAUAACAGCAGAAAGAAGAAGAAAAACUUCCACAAAUUUUUAAAACCAUAAUUUUGAUUGCCUGCCCUCCCCUCCCCACUCUGCUAACUCUGGAUGAACCUGAAGGGUGAGGAAUCGAGUUUAAAAUAUCUCCUCCCCUCCGCUGCACCUCCUCUCACACUGUCCAGAAUCUCCCAACACCUGGAGCAUCUCUGAUGCUCCACAGAGCAAAAUUUCAAGAGGGCUUUGGAAAUUGUCAGUUGAGUUCUACCCAAGACAAGUAUGGUUUAUGUGCGGAGGUAAUAUUCCAUAUUUGUGCAUGAGCUUGUUUUCCAUUUGGCUUUGGUUUCCAUUUAAAGCUUUUAAAAAUCAUAUACAUAGACAAAACUAGUGGACCAUGUCAACAUUCUUUUGACGUUUAUUGUCCUUUUCUAUUUGUAGAAAAGGGGAGAAUUCUCCACAUUCACUUCAGAUGUCAUGCUAGGUGAAAUUUGGCAGCAAUUCUACACUCUAUGACAGGUGUAGUCAGUGUGAGGGGCAGUCAGUGUGGUGCUCUCAAUAUCUUGUUGGACUCCAAAUCCCAUAAGCCCCAGCCAGUACUGCCAAUGGUUUGAGAUGGUGUGUGCUGCAGUCCAGAACUUCUGAAGGGAACCAUAUUGGCUCCCUCUACUCUGUGACUUGCCAGUUUGUGGCAGUUGGUCAGCCAUCUUACUUGCAUGCAUAACAAAGAUCCACUGAAACAUCAGAAGUCCUUCUAUUUCUUUAUUUAGAUCAUUUAUACCACUUAAACUUUUCCCCCAAAAAAUGUAUUGCUAAGCAGUUUACAAAUACCAUGCAAUAUUACAAAUAAAAAUCAGAAUACAAAAAAAAACACCAUUAUUAAAACAAAUCCAUCACAUAAAAUCACAGUCAGAAAAUCAACAGGAUAAUUAGGCUCUCUUGGAUGAUAAAAAGAAAAGAAAAAAGAAUCUAGAUCCAUUUCAGUCAGGGGUUAUGGCCAAUUUUGGCAUGGAAACUGCCUUGAUAGCCCUGUUUGAUAACAUCUGUUGGGAGAACGAUGGUUCAGAAUGAUCCUGUUGAUCUCUCAGCAACUUUCCAUCAUACUAUCAAUCAUAGCAUCCACUGGAAGUGGUUGUCUGAAUUGGAACAGGGUGGCACUGCUUUGUGAUGGUUCCAGUUUUAUUUGGAUUGCUGCCUCCAGAGAGUGGUGUUUCGAGGAUUUUGUUUACCUUGUGGAGCCUUCAAUGCGGUAUUUCAUAGGGAUCAAUAUUAUCCUCCAUGCUGUUUAAUAUCUACAUGAAGCUGCCGAGUAGGGUUAUCUGGAUAUUUGAAGUGUCACCAAUAUGCUUAUUUGCUGCCAUUAUUUGCAUGCUGCCCAACAAAAGAUCUUGCAAUAAAUAAAAAAUUUGGAUUCAAAUAUAUAUAUAUAUACAAAACUGUGAAAUAAAUCAAAGCAGGUGUCAACACUGAUGGCAUUCUUUACUGUUUAAAUUUUAAGCCUUAACAUUUUUUGAGCCUUAAAAAUGAUAGAAGAAGAGAAGAGUUUUGGAUUUGAUAUCCUGCUUUAUCACUACCCUAAGGAGUCUCAAAGUGGCUAACAUUCUCCUUUCCCUUCCUCCCUCACAACAAACACUCUGUGAGGUGAGUGGGGCUGAGAGACUUCAGAGAAGUGUGACUGGCCCAAGGUCACCCAGCAGCUGCAUGUGGAGGAGCGGAGACACGAACCCGAUUCCCCAGAUUACGAGUCUACUGCUCUUAACCACUACACCGCACUGGCAAAACUGCUAACGACACAAGUUUUUACCAGAUACAGGGGAUCCCCAUAUGUGUGCAGUCCACAUAUGCAUUUCUCACUUGCACGUGUGCAAAAAAACUGUGCCAAAAGGAGCAGGACGGGACAGGGGAAUCCCUAUUUACACACACCCUGCAAUGGAACUCCAGUGUAAGUGGCUUCCACAGGGGAGCCACAAAAAGAAUAUGGUUAGUCAAGGGUGCCGUGGGCUCAAAAAGACUGAAAACUACUGGAGUUACUGCCUGUUACUCCAUAAGGGAAAACCUACAAAAAAUGUUGUACCAUUGGUACCUGACGCCGCAUAAACUUUCCAAAACGUACAAACACAUACCAGAUGUCUGUUGGAGAUACGGUGAAACAAAAGGUACCAUGUUUCAUAUAUGGUGGACAUGUAAGAAGGUCAAAGGGUUUUGGAAUGAUAUACAUUUAGAAUUAAAAAUAAUGUUAAAGGUAAACUUCCCUAAAAAGCUGAAGUUUUCCUUCUGGGUAUUACAAGGGUAAAAGGAAAAUGUUUUUGUAUGCAACUGCAGCCCUGAGGGUGCUUAUCACGACAUAUUGGAAAAAUGACAAACUUCCUACCAGGGCUGAAUGGCUACUUAAACUGACAGAAUAUGCGGAAUUAGAAAUAGAAUCGGAAAGAAUUAGAAAUAAGUCUAGACAGGAGUUCAUUCUAAAAUGAGAUAAAUUUAAGAAUUACUUAAAAAAUACUUGUGAUCUAAACACGGUAACUGCCUUUGAAUGAUUUCUGUAAAUAAUAUACUUGAUGGGAAAUGUUAUUGAAAUAGAAAAGAAAAUCUAUGUAAAACAAUAAUCAUAAAUCAAAGUAAGAUGUUUAAUAUAAAAGGAGAUAUGGAGAGGACAGGAAGUCACACAGUUGAAAUUGCAAGUAUCUUUUGUGAACACUGAUAUCAUCAGACUGAUCGAGGUGAAGAUGGCUAUGUGUUGUAUAUUGAUGAAAAUGAACAAUAAAGCACUCUAAAAUAAAUAAAUAAAUAACUACUGGAGUAGACCAUUCUUAAUUCCCUACUGAUUUCCCAUCCAAUCCCACCCUUAUGAUUUAUCUCACCAUAUAAUGUUGUACAUUUUAUAGAGGUCUAAGCUAAACCUUAACCCAGAAAAUCUCUGUCCAGGUGUGACCAGCAACAUACAGCUCUGCAACGCACGGACAGAGCUAACGUUCUUUUAUCUAUAAAUCUUUCUCAUUCCUGGACAGCAUACUGUGCUCUUUAGGCAACAUAAUAAUGCUGAGGUUUCUGAGGCAUUGCUGGGGGAAAAAAAAUCUAGGUCUUGCUGAUGCAUCAUUAAAAAUUACAUAAAAUACUGUGUGGAACUCUGAAAUGUGCUCACCUAAGCAAAACUCACUCAUAGCCAUUGCUUUCCCUAGCCUGAACCAAUCAAUACCCAGCACCUUACACAAUCUGUAAAUAAUAAAUUACCACAGGAUGACUGAAAAUCAACAGCAGUGUGGCCUUGUCUUUGUGCCUUUCCUGACUAUUUUACGAGGCGAUGUCUUAAGGUGUCUUAGUCACUUCAAACUCCUCUUCAAUGACCCUGCAUUUCCUUGAUGGAGCUAAUGCCAUUUUUCACAAUGAGCCAAACUCCCAUUUAGGGUGCCAGUGCAAUUUCAAAAGGAAAUCAUACCUAGCAAGUCCCUCUGUGUCUUUCAAUUCCUUUGGGUGGUGUGGUCUGCCACAUUUAGUUAGGGGUCCGUCACUCCAUUUUCGCCAUGUACCAAGCUGCUCCAGAAAAGGUAUAGUGAAUUGUCUGUCUGUCUUCCCUCCUGGAAUCUCAAUUUCAAAGCUAAUCAACCUUGUUCCCAGGAAGAGGUGAUUACCCGGCUCUGGUACAUAAGGUCACUUAGGCCUUACCCAGCUCUGAUUGGGGGUUCACAGAUCUUUUCUAUGGCAAUCUCUCUUUGACUUGUAAGAUAUUGCUUCAUUCAUAUCACACUAUUUGUUCAAUCCUGAAAGGUUUGAUUUUAAAAAGAAAAAAAGAUGUGUAUCUUUGAAAUCUGUCUGAUGAUACUUGAUUUAAAAGGUGGGCUUUUCCGGGGCUGGAGAGCCUACAAACCAGUAAGGAAGUGGCUAUUUUGGGAUGUUAUGCACUGACUAAAACAAAAUCAUUUCAGAGCUCGUAAAAGCCUUGAAACCUACUUGAGCAAACAGAAACUCAAGGGGUUUUUUUGGGGGGAGGGUCCUGCUUCCUUUUCAUAGGAAACUACUUUUACUCAGAGUUUGCCCAGUACUGCCCUCAUCCUUUUUUAAGGAACAUUCAUAUCUAGAUUAGCAGGAGACUUUGGAGCCUGGGCUACAAUACAGUGGGCUAGGAUGCCAGGUAAUGGAGAAAUAAUUCUUGCUACCGGAUUCAAAACAUGGGGCAAUUUGGGAAUUACUUCUUGAUCCAUAUGCAAAUGUAAAAAAAAAGCAGCGAUAUAACAAAGGGUUAAGAAAAAAUAAGAAAAACCCCAACAACUUAAUUAUUUCAUCUACGCACUUACAGCAAUAUUGUGUGUAUUUGCAUUUACUCAACACAUUUUUGUACCCAAAAGGCAGGGCUGCAUCAAAUGUUACAGGGCAAAAGUAAUACAUUCAGAAGGAUUAAAUGUCUUCACUCCAUCCACCCAAAAAAAGCUAGGAAUGAUGUCCUGAUAGACUAGAUGGACUGGUGGAGUAGUUGAGGGCCAAUAAACUGUGUUUAAAUCCUGGGAAGACAAAGGCUCUUUAGGUGAGUGGUUCCCAUGGUCAAGAAACUGGCAAGUUACCUGCUCUGGAUAGGGUUGCACUUCUUCUGAAGUAGCACUGGCUAUCACUGGCUGGGCAUGACAGGCACUGGGUAAGGAUCCCCAGGAUUGGAAGGGAUCCUCACCAGCCCAGCCCAGCCCUGCUGUCAUUUAUUGCCAUCCACUUUUCUCCCCGGAUGCUUUUCAGUGGUGGACAGUAGUAGAGUUGCUUUUGAAAGGGAGCCUAGCUCAGCUCUCAUCUGUGGUGGUUGCCUACCAUUUUAAGCUUCCCAAAAUGUAAUGCCCUAGCCUGCAGAUAUAUAACAUUUAUUGAUUUCUUAUAUCUACAGUAUAGUCUGGGUAGACACUGUGUUAAGCCUCACAUCUAUCUGUCAUCUGUCUAGCUAUCUAUCAUCUAUCAAUCCAGCUAUCUAGUUAUCAUCUAUAUCUAUCUAUCUAUCAUCUAUCUAUCUAUCUAUCUAUCAUCUAUCUAUCUAUCUAUCUACUGUAUCAUCUAUCAUCUAUCUAUCUAUCUAUCAUCUAUCAUCUAUCAACUAUCGUCUAUCAUCUAUCUAUCAUCUAUCAUCUAUCUAUCUAUCAUCUAUCUAUCUAUCAUCUAUCUAUCUAUCUAUCUAUCUAUCUAUCAUCUAUCUAUCUAUCUAUCUAUCUGGUGUCAGCUCUGACUGGGGGCCCUUUCCCCAGUCAUUAACCCCUUCGCAAAAGCAAAGGGUAUGGUUUUCUCCUCCCAAAGAGAGCUUUGCAAAAACUACGUGUGUCUAGUUUUUAAGCUUCCUUCCUGAAUUCCUGG